UACGUAGGGUGCAAGCGUUGUCCAGAUUCAUUGGGCGUAAAGAGCUCGUAGGCGGUUCAGCAAGUCGGGUGUGAAACCUCCAGGCUCAACCUGGAGACGCCACCCGAUACUGCUGUGACUUGAGUCCGGUAGGGGACCACGGAAUUCCUGGUGUAGCGGUGAAAUGCGCAGAUAUCAGGAGGAACACCGGUGGCGAAGGCGGUGGUCUGGGCCGGAACUGACGCUGAGGAGCGAAAGCGUGGGGAGCGAACAGG
rnacentral:rRNA from 1 species